rnacentral:rRNA from 1 species
UGGGGAAUAUUGGGCAAUGGGCGCAAGCCUGACCCAGCGACGCCGCGUGGGCGAUGAAGGCCUUCGGGUUGUAAAGCCCUGUCAUGUGGAAAGAACAGUUCCGCGGUUAAUACCCGCGGAAUUUGACGGUACCACAGGAGGAAGCACCGGCUAACUCCGUGCCAGCAGCCGCGGUAAUACGGAGGGUGCAAGCGUUGUUCGGAAUUAUUGGGCGUAAAGGGCGCGUAGGCGGUUGUGAAAGUCAGAUGUGAAAUACUUGGGCUCAACUGAAGAACUGCAUCUGAAACGUCAUAACUCGAGUACAGGAGAGGGAAACGGAAUGCCCGGUGUAGAGGUGAAAUUCGUAGAUAUCGGGAGGAACACCAGUGGCGAAGGCGGUUUCCUGGCCUGAUACUGACGCUGAGGCGCGAAAGCGUGGGGAGCAAACA